UACGGAGGGAGCUAGCGUUGUUCGGAAUCACUGGGCGUAAAGCGUGCGUAGGCGGUGACUCAAGUCAGAGGUGAAAGCCUGGAGCUCAACUCCAGAACUGCCUUUGAAACUAGGUCGCUAGAACAUCGGAGAGGUGAGUGGAAUUCCGAGUGUAGAGGUGAAAUUCGUAGAUAUUCGGAAGAACACCAGUGGCGAAGGCGGCUCACUGGACGAUUGUUGACGCUGAGGCACGAAAGCGUGGGGAGCAAACAGGAUUAGAAACCCUAGUAGUCC
rnacentral:rRNA from 1 species